AGUUCGAUAGCUUAGUUUGUAAAGCGCUUGUCUAACAUAGAAGAGUCCUGGGUUUGAAUCCCAGCCGAGCAC
rnacentral:tRNA from 2 species